GACGAACGCUGGCGGCGUGCUUAACACAUGCAAGUCGAACGGAAAGGCCCUGCUUUUGUGGGGUGCUCGAGUGGCGAACGGGUGAGUAACACGUGAGUAACCUGCCCUUGACUUUGGGAUAACUUCAGGAAACUGGGGCUAAUACCGGAUAGGAGCUCCUGCUGCAUGGUGGGGGUUGGAAAGUUUCGGCGGUUGGGGAUGGACUCGCGGCUUAUCAGCUUGUUGGUGGGGUAGUGGCUUACCAAGGCUUUGACGGGUAGCCGGCCUGAGAGGGUGACCGGCGACAUUGGGACUGCGAUACGGCCCAGACUCCUACGGGAGGCAGCAGUGGGGAAUAUUGCACAAUGGGCGGAAGUCUGAUGCAGCAACGCCGCGUGCGGGAUGACGGCCUUCGGGUUGUAAACCGCUUUCGCCUGUGACGAAGCGUGAGUGACGGUAAUGGGUAAAGAAGCACCGGCUAACUACGUG
rnacentral:rRNA from 1 species